AAAGUACUCCCUCCAUCCCAAAAUUCAUGUCUUAGAUUUGUCUAGAUACGGAUGUAUCAAGUCACAUCCGUAUCUAGACAAAUCUAAGACAAGAAAUUUGGAACAGAGGGAGUAGUUU
rfam:Triticum aestivum genome assembly, contig: Triticum_aestivum_CS42_TGACv1_scaffold_577799_7BL